ACGGGAGGCGCAGUGGGGAAUAUUGCACAAUGGGGGAAACCCUGAUGCAACGACGCCGCGUGGGUGAUGAAGUAUUUCGGUACGUAAAGCCCUAUCAGCAGGGAAGAUAAUGACGGUACCUGACUAAGAAGCUCCGGCUAAAUACGUGCCAGCAGCCGCGGUAAUACGUAUGGAGCAAGCGUUAUCCGGAUUUACUGGGUGUAAAGGGAGCGCAGGCGGUUUUGUAAGUUGGGUGUGAAAGCCCGGGGCUCAACCCCGGGACUGCACCCAAAACUGCAGGACUAGAGUGUCGGAGGGGCAAGCGGAAUUCCUAGUGGAGCGGUGAAAUGCGUAGAUAUUAGGAGGAACACCGGUGGCGAAGGCGGCUUGCUGGACGACAACUGACGCUGAGGCUCGAAAGCGUGGGGAGCAAACAGGAUUAGAUACCCUGGUA
rnacentral:rRNA from 1 species